rnacentral:rRNA from 1 species
AGGACAAACGCUGGCGGCGUGCGUAACACAUGCAAGUCGAACGCUCUGGUCUCUUUCGAGAGAGGGAGCGCCACACGAGGAGCCUGCGCCCGAUUAGCUAGCUGGUGGAGUAACGGUUCACCAGGGCGACGAUCGGUAGCUGGUCUGAGAGGACGAUCAGCCACACUGGGAUUGAGAACGGCCCAGACUCCUACGGGGGGCAGCAGUGAGGAAUUUCGUCAAUGGGGCAACCCUGAACGAGCAACGCCGCGUGCAGGAAGAAGGUUUUCGGAUCGUAAACUGCUUUUCUCGGGGAAGAGAAUGGACGGUACCCGAGGAAUCAGCCCCCGGCUAAACUACGUGCCAGCAGCCGC